rnacentral:rRNA from 1 species
UACGUAGGGUGCAAGCGUUAUCCGGAAUUAUUGGGCGUAAAGAGCUCGUAGGCGGUUUGUCGCGUCUGCUGUGAAAACUGGGGGCUCAACUCCCAGCCUGCAGUGGGUACGGGCAGACUAGAGUGCGGUAGGGGAGAUUGGAAUUCCUGGUGUAGCGGUGAAAUGCGCAGAUAUCAGGAGGAACACCGAUGGCGAAGGCAGGUCUCUGGGCCACUACUGACGCUGAGAAGCGAAAGCAUGGGGAGCGAACAGG